rnacentral:rRNA from 1 species
UUAAACUAAGAAUAUAACGGGUAGAGCUUUAUAUUCAAAAAUUAAUAGAAGAUGAAUUAAUAAAUGAAUAUUUAAAAAUUAGACUUUUUAGUGGCCAUAUUAUUAAAGUAUUUUAACUAUUAAAAUAAAAUAAGUUUUAUUUUAAAUUCUCUUUUUUUUUUAGUGAAAUAUAAAUUUAUAUUUUAAAUGAAUUAGAAAUAAUGAAAAUAUUAGUAGAAUAUUUAAAUAUAUAAAAUAGAAAUGUUAAAAUUAAUAAAUAAUUUUAAUUAAAGAAAGAAAAAUUAAAGGAAUUCGGCAAAUUUUUUUCUUGCCUGUUUAACAAAAACAUGUCUGUAUGAAGUUAUAUAAAGUCUGGCCUGCCCAUUGAAAAAAUUUAAAAGGCCGCGGUAUAUUAACUGUGCAAAGGUAGCAUAAUCAUUAGUUUUUUAAUUGAAGGCUUGUAUGAAUGGUCUGACAAAGUAAAAGCUGUCUUUAAUUUUAUUUUUGAAAUUAACUUUUAAGUGAAAAGGCUUAAAUAAAUUUAAGGGACGAUAAGACCCUAUAAAUCUUUAUAUUAAUUUGUUAUUUUAAAAAAUUAAUAGAUUUUGUUUUAAAAAAUAAAUAAACAAAUAAUAUUUUAUUGGGGUGAUGAGAAUAUAUAAAAAACUGUUCUUAAAAUAAACAAAGUUAUUUGUUAAGAAAAAAAAAUAAUAGAUCCUUUAUUAAGAUAAAAAGUUUAAGUUACUUUAGGGAUAACAGCGUUAUUUUUUUUGAGAGUUCCUAUCGAAAAAAAAGUUUGCGACCUCGAUGUUGAAUUAAAAUUUCUCUGCGGUGUAGAAGUUGUAGAAGAAAGUCUGUUCGACUUUUGAAAUUUU